rnacentral:rRNA from 1 species
UACGGAGGAUACGAGCGUUAUCCGGAUUUAUUGGGUUUAAAGGGUGCGUAGGCGGACGCUUAAGUCAGCGGUAAAAUUGCGGGGCUCAACCUCGUCGAGCCGUUGAAACUGGGUGCCUUGAGUGGGCGAGAAGUACGCGGAAUGCGUGGUGUAGCGGUGAAAUGCAUAGAUAUCACGCAGAACUCCGAUUGCGAAGGCAGCGUACCGGCGCCCAACUGACGCUGAAGCACGAAGGCGUGGGUAUCGAACAGG